UGACUUUUACCGCGAUGUCUAUCGAGCAUUUUAUACUUUUUUUUAAUCCAAAAAUACCCUUAACGUUAUAAUUUUUGAGUCGUCCGUGCCUUUGUUGUUAACAGAUCUGCCAACUAGACAAACGAGAUUGAUAUUUGGACAUUUUGCUGACGUGUCAAAUAAUUAAAACAAAAAUUGCAAUCAUACCAUCUGAUGUGUAUAAAAAUAAUAUUUUAUAUAUAUUUGAUAAUUUAUUUAUUGUGUAUAUCGUAUAUAUUUUUUUCUUUAUUUUCUCUCUCCUCAACUAUCCCCAAUAUUCUCCACCACCAUCCGCCGCCCAUCACUGCCGUCCGUCACCCAAAAAAAAUUCAUGGAACCAAUAAUCCAAAACACACACAUGCUCUUGGGAACUCAGAGGAGAGAGAUGCAAGCCCGUUGCAAAAGUUGCAAAUGAAUUUUGAGUCAAAACUAGAGUAAUCAAUUUGUAUUUAGUCUUCAUUAAUCCUAAUCGACCGGACCCAUUAAUAAAAGUCAAUAACCUCCUUCCAUGACUGCAAGUCAACCCCGACCUCUCUGAAUUGCCGAUUCUCUCUCUUCUGAGUUCUGAGAGUCAGCCACGAGAAUGGGCGACAGACGGCCAAGACAAACCCAUUCUCACCAAAGUGAUAAAAUACAAAUUGAUUGUUCUAAUUUUGACUCAAAAGAUCUCUCUCCCAGUUGGGUAUAUAAAAUAAAAGAUAAUAAGGAGACAAAGUGAGAUUCAGAGAGUGAGGCUCAGAUCUGAGAAGAAUGAUAGAUUUAGAGAGAGAAAAUGGAUAUGGAUUUUUGGACGAAU
rnacentral:lncRNA from 1 species